rnacentral:lncRNA from 1 species
AAAAAGUAAAUGUUGCUAGGCAGAACACCAAAACUUGCAAUGGUUAAUUAUGAAAGGUCGUAAUAGUUUAUUUAAGCAACUGUAAAUAUUCAUCCAAAGGAUUGCAAUGACUCAUUUAAAUAUUUACAACGAUUUACUUAAAUCUCCAAUAAAAUAUUAUAUAUGUAUAUAUAUAUACAUAUGAAAAUAAAAAAAAUACAAUAUUUAAAAAAAUCAAUUAUAAACGAAAUGAUAAAAUAUAUAUAUAUAUAUAUUUGAAAGACAUAAGAUAUAUGAAAAAGUAUAUUAUAGAGUUAUGAAACACACAAACACAAAGUAUAAUAAACAGAAUUGAAAAUAUAUAAAUUAAAAAUACAAUUAAAAAAUGAAAACAGUUAUAAACGAAAAAAAGUCUUAAACGGUUAUGAAUAAACAGUGAUAAACAAAAUUAAAAACAAAAUACUUAUAAGAAUAGUCACAAUGUUUUACUUUUUAAAAGAUACAUAUAUAUGAAUAGUCACAAUCUUUGGAUAAUUUUUAGAAAAGACACAACUUUCCAACAUUUUUCUAAAAGAUACAACUUUUUAAAUAUUUUUUUUACAAAAGACACAACCUUUUAAUCAAUUUUUGUAAAAG